rnacentral:rRNA from 1 species
GACGAACGCUGGCGGCGUGCUUAACACAUGCAAGUCGAGCGGAAAGGCCCUUUCGGGGGUACUCGAGCGGCGAACGGGUGAGUAACACGUGAGUAAUCUGCCCCGUACUUCGGGAUAGCCACCGGAAACGGUGAUUAAUACCGGAUAUGACCCUCCUUCGCAUGUUGGGGGGUGGAAAGUUUUUUCGGUACGGGAUGUGCUCGCGGCCUAUCAGCUUGAUGGUGAGGUAAUGGCUCACCAUGGCUUCGACGGGUAGCCGGCCUGAGAGGGUGACCGGUCACACUGGGACUGAGUCACGGCCCAGACUCCUACGGGAGGCAGCAGUGGGGAAUAUUGGACAAUGGGCGGAAGCCUGAUCCAGCAACGCCGCGUGAGGGAUGACGGCCUUCGGGUUGUAAACCUCUUUCGGUGGGGACGAAGCGCAAGUGACGGUACCCACUAAAGAAGCACCGGCCAACUACGUGCCAGCCGCCGCUGUAAAAC